UACGAAGGGGGCUAGCGUUGUUCGGAAUCAUUGGGCGUAAAGGGCGCGUAGGCGGCUCAUGAAGGCUGUGGUGAAAGUCCGGGGCUCAACCUCGGAUCGGCCGUGGCGACUCGUGGGCUGGAGCACUGUAGAGGCGGGUGGAAUUCCGGGUGUAGCGGUGGAAUGCGUAGAGAUCCGGAAGAACACCAGUGGCGAAGGCGGCCCGCUGGGCAGUGGCUGACGCUGAGGCGCGACAGCGUGGGGAGCAAACAGG
rnacentral:rRNA from 1 species